CCUACGGGAGGCAGCAGUAGGGAAUCUUCCACAAUGGGCGAAAGCCUGAUGGAGCAACGCCGCGUGGGUGAAGAAGGUCUUCGGAUCGUAAAACCCUGUUGUUAGAGAAGAAAGUGCGUGAGAGUAACUGUUCACGUUUCGACGGUAUCUAACCAGAAAGCCCCGGCUAACUACGUGCCAGCAGCCGCGGUAAUACGUAGGUGGCAAGCGUUAUCCGGAUUUAUUGGGCGUAAAGGGAACGCGGGCGGUCUUUUAAGUCUGAUGUGAAAGCCUUCGGCUUAACCGGAGUAGUGCAUUGGAAACUGGGAGACUUGAGUGCAGAAGAGGAGAGUGGAACUCCAUGUGUAGCGGUGAAAUGCGUAGAUAUAUGGAAGAACACCAGUGGCGAAAGCGGCUCUCUGGGCUGUAACUGACGCUGAGGUUCGAAAGCGUGGGUAGCAAACAGGAUUAGAUACCCGGGUAGUC
rnacentral:rRNA from 1 species